rnacentral:lncRNA from 8 species
AUGUUCAUUUACAUCAGCUCGUCUCAACUCUGCAUGGGCCUCAUUUCUCUGUCAGAUGAAAGUUCAGCAUUCAUAACUACUACACCUCUACCUCCGACACCUCUACUACUACCUCCUCUACCACACAUCUACAACUACCUCCUCUACACCUCUACUACUACUACUACAACCUCCUCUACACCUCUACUACAACACCUCUACCACCACUACACCUCUACCACCACUACACCUCUACCCACUACUACACCUCUACCACUACUACAACCUCCUCUACACCUCUACUACUACUACACCUCUACCACACCUCUACCACUACCACACCUCUACCUCUACCACACCUCUACCACUACUACACCUCUACCACUACCACACCUCUACCACUACUACACCUCUACCACUACUACACCUCUACCACUACUAUACCACUACUACAGCUCUACCACCUCUACCACCUCCUCUACACCUCUACUACUACUACACCUCUACCACCACUACACCUCUACCACUACCACACCUCUACGACUACCCACUACUACACCUCUACCCACUACUACACCUCUACCCACUACUACACCUCCACCCACUACUACACCUCUACGACUACCCACUACUACACCUCUACCCACUACUACACCUCUACCCACUACUACACCUCCACUACACCUGUACCACUACUAUACCUCUACCCACUACUACACCUCUACCACACCUCUACCACUACUAUACCACAACAACUACGACACCUCUACACCUAUACCACCACUACACCUCUACUACACCUCUACAACUACUACUACACCUCUAGUACCACACCUCUACUACUACUACUACACCUCUAGUACCACACCUCUACUACUACUACUACCACCACACCUCUACUACUACUACUACUACUACUACCACACCUCUACUACUACUACCACUACAACACCUCCACUACAACUACCACACCUCCACUACAACUACCACACCUCCACUACAACUACCACACCUCCACUACAACUACCACACCUCUACCACUACUACCACUACUGCCACACCUCUACCACUACUACCACACCUCUACCACCACCAUACCUCUACUACUACCACGUCUCUACCACACCUCUACCCACUACUACCACACCUCCACCCACUACUACCACACCUCCACCCACUACUACACCUCUACCACACCUCUACCUCUACCACACCUCUACCUCUACCACACCUCUACACCUACUACUACACCCCUACCACUACUACCCCUCUACAACACCUCUACCACUAUAA